AACGAACGCUGGCGGCAUGCCUAACACAUGCAAGUCGAACGAUCCCUUCGGGGAUAGUGGCGCACGGGUGCGUAACGCGUGGGAACCUGCCCUUAGGUUCGGAAUAACUCAGAGAAAUUUGAGCUAAUACCGGAUAAUGUCUUCGGACCAAAGAUUUAUCGCCUUUGGAUGGGCCCGCGUUGGAUUAGCUAGUUGGUGGGGUAAAGGCCUACCAAGGCGACGAUCCAUAGCUGGUCUGAGAGGAUGAUCAGCCACACUGGGACUGAGACACGGCCCAGACUCCUACGGGAGGCAGCAGUGGGGAAUAUUGGACAAUGGGCGGAAGCCUGAUCCAGCAAUGCCGCGUGAGUGAUGAAGGCCUUAGGGUUGUAAAGCUCUUUUACCCGGGAUGAUAAUGACAGUACCGGGAGAAUAAGCCCCGGCUAACUCCGUG
rnacentral:rRNA from 1 species